GCCCCCGUUGUCUAAUGGCUAUGACGUCAGACUUCUAGGGCCUCUCCUAAAUCUGGAGGUUGCGGGUUCGAGUCCCGCCGGGGGUA